AGUUAACAGUGAUGAGGAGAUACCCUCAGGCCAGCGACCAAGGGCAAAGUCCCCAGUUAACAGUGAUGAGGAGAUACCCUCAGGCCAGCGACCAAGGGCAGAGUCCCCUCAUAAAGGGACUAAGAGGACACACAAAACAAAGAUAAAGAAGCAUGCAAGUAAAAAGCCAAGAAGCCUUGAGCCUUCGCUGAAGGACAUCAAAAAAUAGCUUAUCCAUCAUGACAACAACCCCAAGAUUAGAUUUUAAACUUUGAUAUUGUUGUAAAUAUGUAAAUGUGGUCC
rnacentral:lncRNA from 1 species